CUCUCAAAUACGCUAAACCUAGUCUCUCAGUCUCCCAAUCUCAAAUGCGAACCCUAAGUCUCAGCUGCUCAAUCUCCAUUUUCGACAUCAUCGUUUCUUCUCUUAAUCCAUCGAAUACGUCAGUUACGGCGGCGAACACUCCUCCCUCUCCUCAUGAACCUCGUCGACGAAGAAGAACUUCAGCUUGACUUAUCGUUACUUCGUCUAUCUAUGGCCUCAUCUUUCUUUCAUGGCGUUUCAUAAGGGUAGGUGUGUAGGUACGGUGGUUUAUAAAAUUGGAAAGCAUCGUAACACUUUUAGAGGUUACAUUACCAUGCUUGUUGUUAUCUAACCCUACAGAAGAAUAGGCAUUGCUACAGAACUUGUUACUAGGUCUAUCACGAUGAUGAUGGAAUCUGGUUGUGAUGAGGUAUGUAUAGUUCUAUGUGAUUACAAAACGCAUCGGGGUAACUUGUUUUGUAAGCAUUUAUAGAAAAUAAAAUUGAUUGCUUUCCUUCGAUUGUUUUAAUUUUUUGAAUCUGCGUUAGAUGGCCUGCUUCCUGUUGCAUUUUCUUGAAUGAUUUUCCAUUCGUUGUAUACACAUGUCAUUUCAAUUGGGCGAUUCGUUGUUUCGAUUCGUCGUUUCGGUUUGUUCUUUGUUAUGGCUGAAUAAAUUUGAAUAAUGUUUAGUUUAAAUUGUUGAUUCUGUUUAUCCUAUUCAUAUAUAACCUGAUUUAAGUUAUAUUUGUUGGUCAGAAUAUUUUGGCUUAAAUUACUUUCAUUUGUUAUGUCAUACUGGUUUUAGAAUACUUGGUUAAAUUAUUUUGGCUUAAUAUUGUCGGCUUAGCUAAUGAGAUUCUAUUGAUUAUUCGGCUAGAAAAUAGGAAACAGAGAAGCUAAAAUCUACUUUGUAAAAAGAAGUUUUGAAGAUUGAAGUAAUUACUCAGUGCUCACUCUACUUAGCAUGGGUAUUGUUGCUUUCUUAUUUAUAUUUUACCUUUUUUCCAAGUUAUCAUAGAUGGGUGGCACUACAUUUGUUCUAAAUCUUAGGAUUAGCUUUUACUAAGGGUUUCUAUAAGAUGUAAUGGAGUUUGAUGGUUGGAUAUUAAGAUUCCUUUAACAUAAUAAUUCAAAUAAAUAACAAUGAUUUUGUAUAUCAUAUAGUUUGUUUGAUAUGUCAUGUAAUAGUUUGUUUUAAAUAUGAAAAAAAGGUUGUAGCUAUUUAUGACACUUUUAUUGGCAUUCUUAAUAAUCUUAUGAGACUAGUUUCACGGCCUUUCGGGAAAGUCGCUUGAAAGUGGCAGCGGUGGAAAAUCUUAAAGUUGCAACGCUGUCAUUGUUGGAGAACUUUGUUUUUAACAUUGAUAACCCAAGAUCCUUGGUGGUAACUAAUGUGGGAGGUAAACUCCAACAACCACAUUAGUACAAGAGUCACAAUUAUUAUGACUUACCCAGUGUAGUUCUUGAUCCCCUUUUCAUAUUAUGAGCUUUUAUUUUACUAUGUAUACAUGGUAAUUCUACCUUCCUAUUUUUUAGGUACUUCAUGCAGUUUAGUUCAUUAGAGGUCACCUAAUUUAUGAUAAGGUUAGUUUCUUGAUCUAGCUCAUAAGGGGCCAUCUAAUUUAUGAUAAGUUUGGUUUAUUGGUCUAGCCUGUCUACUAGUGGUACCAAUAUGUUUAAGCUUCAAACAAAUAUUAUUCUGUGCACUGGUUGUAUGAAUGUGGUGUUUAAAAAAAUAAUAAAUCACUACUAUUUAACCUAUAUUCUAGUCCUAGAAAGAGUAAAUGAUACUGAACUCUUUUUUGUUUUUUAAUAUAAUCAGUUUUAACUUAAGAAUGUAAUAUUUUAGCAUAUAACUGAAAUUGCUGAAUGUUUUUGUUAUCUAAAGAGAACAACGGGAGUAUGGAAUGUAGAAGUGUAUCCUAAGAUAGAGCUUCAUAGUUAGAACUAGUG